GGGUAAAAUUAAUAAUCUAUAAUUAAUAAAAAAAAUUUUAAUAUUAAAAAGAAAUAAUGGGGGUUUGAGUAUUUUUAAUAGAAAAAAUUAAUAUUUUUAUAGUUAAAUAUUACUGUAAAGGAAUUUAUAAAUAAGUGAAAUUAAUUAAUAAUAAAGUAAAUUUAAUUUAUUGUAUCUUGUGUAUCAGAGUUUAUUAAAUAAUAAUAGUUUGUUUAAAUAAAUCUCGAAUUUAAAAGAGUUAAUUAAUUAUAAAAGUUAAUGUUGCAUAAUUUUUUUUAAUAGUUAAUUAGAAAUGAAAUGUUAAUCGUUUUUAAAUAUAUCUAGUUUUUUUAGAAAAAAAUUUAAUUUAAAAUUUAAAUAAUUUUAUAAUUAUUUAAUUAAUUAUAAAAAUUUAAAAUUUAAUAUUUUAGGGGAUAAGCUUUAAAUUAAAUUAUUAUAAUUAAAUUAAUUUAAAAUUAAAAUUUUUAAUAUUUAUAUUGUUUAAAAAUUAUAAUUUAUUAUAAAAAAUUUUAAUUAAAAAUAAAAUUUAAAAUAAUUUAAAUUUUUAUAAAAAAAUAAUUUAUAGUUUUAUAAAAUUAGAAAUAAUGAUAAAAUUAGUAUAAUAAGAAUAAAAUUAAAUUAAAAUUUAUUUUAAAUUAAGUUAAAGGAAUUCGGCAAAAUUUUAUAUUCACUUGUUUAUCAAAAACAUGUCUUUUUGAUAAUAAUUUAAAGUCUAAUCUGCCCACUGAUAUAUUAUAUUAAAGGGCUGCAGUAUAUUGACUGUACAAAGGUAGCAUAAUCAUUAGUCUUUUAAUUGGAGACUUGUAUGAAAGAUUUGAUGAGAUAUAAACUGUCUCUAAUUUAUAUUUAGAAAUUAAUUUUUUAGUUAAAAAGCUAAAAUAAAAUUAAAAGACGAGAAGACCCUAUAGAGUUUUAUAUUUUAUUUUUUUAAUGUUAAAUAUAUAAUUAGAUUAUAUAAAAAAAAUAAAUUAUUGUGUUGGGGUGAUAGAAAAAUUUAAUAAACUUUUUUUUAAAAUAUACAUAAAUAAGUGGUUGAUUGAUCCAUUUUUAAUGAUUAAAAGAAAAAGUUACCUUAGGGAUAACAGCGUAAUAUUUUUUUUUAGUACAAAUAAAAAAAAAAGUUUGCGACCUCGAUGUUGGAUUAAGAUAAAAUUUAAAUGCAAAAGUUUAAAAUUUUGAUCUGUUCGAUCAUUAAAAUCUUACAUGAUCUGAGUUCAAACCGGUGUAAGCCAGGUUGGUUUCUAUCUUUAAUUAAUAUAAUAAUAUUUUAGUACGAAAGGAUCAAAUAUUUGAAAUAAUUUUAUAUAGUUUGAAUAUUAUUAACAAGAUAAUUA
rnacentral:rRNA from 1 species